ACUCCUACGGGAGGCAGCAGUGGGGAAUAUUGCGCAAUGGCCGCAAGGCUGACGCAGCGACGCCGUGUGUGGGAUGAAGGCCUUCGGGUUGUAAACCACUGUCAGGGGGGACGAAGACUCGGCUCUGAUAACGGGACCGAGGUUGACGGUACCCCCAGAGGAAGCACCGGCUAACUCCGUGCCAGCAGCCGCGGUAAU
rnacentral:rRNA from 1 species